CCUACGGGAGGCAGCAGUGGGGAAUAUUGGGCAAUGGGCGCAAGCCUGACCCAGCAACGCCGCGUGCAGGAUGAAGGCUUUCGGGUUGUUAACUUCCUUUGUCAGGGGAGUGUAGAAGACGGUACCUGACGCAUAAGCCACGGCUCACUAGGUGCCAGCAGCCGCGGUAAUACGGAGGUGGCCAGCGUUGUCCGGAUUUACUGGGUGUAAAGGGCGUGUAGCCGGGUUGACAAGUCAGAUGUGAAAUCCUGCGGCUUAACCGCAGAACUGCAGUUGAAACUGUUGAUCUUGAGUACUGGAGGGGCAGACGGAAUUCCUGGUGUAGCGGUGAAAUGCGUAGAUAUCAGGAGGAACACCAGUGGCGAAGGC
rnacentral:rRNA from 1 species